AUGGAAUCUGAGGACACCAACUGUGACGAGGUCCAGGAGAAGGUGGGCUUGAAAAGAAAAUUAACUGGCCCACCCAGGCUUCUUCUGGGAAAAGGCAAGGAUGAGAAGAAGGCAGAUCUUCAAGCUUCAAGAAAGCAACGACGAGACAAAAAUAACGGCACAGAGAAGCACGAGGUGGAGGAGCACCAAGGCAACGAUGAUGCAGGUUCUGAAUCGCAGCAGGCUACGUGUCAAAGCCCUGAAACUGCCUGUACUGGAGAAGAGGAAACAACUCAGAUCUCCAAUUUAGAUUUGCAAGAAGAGCCUGUGGAAACUGUAGUCUCAAAUUCUGAGCAGGAGAAGGUCAAGGAUCAGCACGGCAGGAGUAGGCAGAGAAGAUGCAGAGCUAAAGCUGCAAUUAGAAGGGUGCUCUUCCCUGCGUUCGCAUGCGUUAGAAGGAGAAAACAAUUAGAUAAUAGAGCAGCAGAAGAUGCAGAGCACAAUGCAACAUGUGACAAUUGCCAGGAUGCUCUAACUACCGAUACCACACGUGAAGUUCUAGCUGACAGUGUAACUGAAAGAUGUGCAAAGAAGAAAAAUCAAAAAAGAAAGUUCCAUAUGAGAAUAUGUGGUGCAGUUUUUAAGAGGUUUUCAGUAAAACCCAAGAGCCCCAGCAGCCAGAAGCAAGAGAAAGGCUGUGUGGGACCAGAUAAUCAUAUUUUAAUUGAAAUAACCUCUGAAAAAAGUGCUGCUGAUCAGUCUGAUUACUCUGCUCCCAGGCCAUCUGGGGAUAUAGCUGUGGAUGAGCAGCUGAAAGGAUCAAAGGAGAUUCAUGAAGACAUGGCAGGAAUCCAUGCAGAAAGCUGCCCAGGGAAAGAACUGGAUCAGGAGGAAGAGUGCUCAGAGAAAGUGACACUGUGUGCCGAGGUGAGCAGUGGCCUGAACACUGUAUUCAGUCAUAAUGAGGUGGAACAACAGGAACGUCCUGAGCAGGACGUAAUCCAAUGCCAUCUCCAAAACAGGACAAAUGAAGAGGACACAACAAUACAGAACACUGAGACAUCAGAGCUCAGACCUGCUCUCUCAGACUCUCAGACUGAGAUCAUCCCAACAUGUGUUAAUGAGUGUAAUUCCGAUAUCAAUGCUCCUGAGGCCUCGCCAGAUAUUACUGUCAAUAAUGUGGUUUUCCUAGAGGACCCAGAUAAGAUUGUUCCGAUUGAAAAUGAAGUGAAAUGCAAACCACUCAUCACAAUAGAAGAUGUUCCCUCAUCGGAUGAGGAAAUCCAAGAACCUUUGGAAAACGAUGCUCCACAGCAUAACACGCUGUCUCCACUUUUUGCACUGAAUGGAUCCUGCCACCGAUUUAAGGUUAACAGGGCGACGAAAGACACAUUACACACUCUAGACCAAACUGAAAACAGCAACAGCCAGUUCUCAGACAUCGUUCUGGUGCAGACAGCGUUGACCUUGGUCCACGCCGCUAUAAACAGUGCUAUGGAACAGCUUUCAGCCGAGCUGCAGAAUAAUCAGAUAGAUGAGGACCAUGUUUAA
rnacentral:lncRNA from 1 species